rnacentral:rRNA from 1 species
GAUGAACGCUGGCGGCGUGCCUAAUACAUGCAAGUCGAGCGAACGGACGCGAAGCUUGCUUCUCUGAUGUUAGCGGCGGACGGGUGAGUAACACGUGGAUAACCUACCUAUAAGACUGGGAUAACUUCGGGAAACCGGAGCUAAUACCGGAUGAUAUUUUGAACCGCAUGGUUCAAAAGUGAAAGACGGUUUUGCCGUUUCUUAUAGAUGGAUCCGCGCUGCAUUAGCUAGUUGGUAAGGUAACGGCUUACCAAGGCAACGAUGCAUAGCCGACCUGAGAGGGUGAUCGGCCACACUGGAACUGAGACACGGUCCAGACUCCUACGGGAGGCAGCAGUAGGGAAUCUUCCACAAUGGGCGAAAGCCUGACGGAGCAACGCCGCGUGAGUGAUGAAGGUCUUCGGAUCGUAAAACUCUGUUAUUAGGGAAGAACAGAUGUGUAAUAAACUGUGCACAUCUUGACGGUACCUAAUCAGAAAGCCACGGCUAACUACGUG